rnacentral:lncRNA from 1 species
UAGUUUAUGGCUGCAAUUAUAUUAAAAGUUGGACGAAAACAACUAUUUCUUUAGACUUACAAAAUUAUUUUUCUGGUUAAUGUUGCAGAUAACGAGAAGUUUGGAACUUGCAUGUCAAACUGCAGUGAGAACUAUUGCAUGGGCAACAAUGCUCUAGAGAAAGCUUAAGAAGCAAGCAUUUGCUCUAAGAAAUAAGUAAAACUUUGCCACAAUAUGUGUCUGUGGUAAUGACACCGAGUACGGAGAACUUGUGUUUGUGAUCCAAUCAUCUAAUAAGAUCAUUUUAGUUCAGUUAAUAUAUCCAUGACCUUUUUAUGGAUCCAAUUAUCUAAUAAGAUCAUUUUAGUUCAGUUAAUAUAUCCAUGACCUUUUUACGGGAAAAGUACAUAUUCCGUCUAUCUAUUGGUUCAAAAGUACACACUACGUUAAUUUUAUUAGUUAAAAUACCACUACGUUUAACGACAGACCAACUGAUCUUUCAAAUUAAUGUGUUGGCAUCUUUUUACUUGACCACAUGAUACUCUCGUCCAAAAAUAAAUCAAGUAAAACGAAAACUACAUGAAACCACACCUACAGCUGCCACCCUACCUUUUCCUCAUACUAAAAAAUAAGCCCUAAAAACAAUCAUUUUACAAAAAAAAAAAACAACCUCAAAACAACAGGAAAACGUCCUGAACAACUAUAAAAACGCAGUUGGACACACCACUUUGUAGCAGCUCCAACAUCAUCUUGUUUCAGCCAUUUAAGCCACUCAUUUUUCUCUAGAUCUCAUUCUUCUAACACCCUAAAAACCAGCUAUUAAACCAACUCCAUAACCAUGAUCUCACAGUUUGCUCCAACGAAACAACCACAACACUACUGUAUUGGGUAAAAUUUGGCUCCUAACGUCCCUGCGCCAAGUGGGUACGUUGAUUGUGGUAAGGCCGACCUGAGUGAAGGGUAAAAUUUUGCUCCUAACGUCCCUACGAUAAGUGGGUACGUUGAUUGUGGUAAGGCCGACCUGAGUUAGGGCACGACCCUGCCAAUAAAACAAAGUCUACGUUAUUUGGGGUCUUACUUCUUCGGUAAGAAGAAGCGACCUACCUUUCUAUUUUUUUUUUUGAUUAUUUCGAGGAAGAUCUCCUACUAUAUAAAGGAGACCUUCAUAUUGUAAUGGGGACGUGUGUUAUUCUAAACAAUACAACUCUCUUACUCUCUCUCUAUCUGUAGCAGAUACCCUCUAUCUGUCCCUCAAGAUCUCCAACUUUUUUUAUUUCUUUACGUUAUCCUAUCUAUGGUGAUCAUAUAGCUACAAGUACAACUCUCUUACUCUCUCUCUAUCUGUAGCACAUACCCUCUAUCUCUCCCUCAAGCUCUCCAGCUCUUCUUAUUUCUUUACGUUAUAGGAUCUAUGGUGAUCAUAUAGCUACAAUCAUCUUUAGGUCUCAUUACAGUUGAUUACGAUUUACCCUUGUUCAUUUUUUGUUGUUUUUAAGCUUAUAAAGUACAUAAAUAACUUUUGAGGGAAAAUAUUUGGCGCCAUGUGUGGGAAUUUACGGAAUGAAAAGUUUUUUGUUGUUUAUAAGCUUAUAAAGUACAUAAAUAACUUUUGAGGGAAAAUAUUUGGCGCCGUGUGUGUGAAUUUAGAGAAUGAAAACCGUAGUUUGCACCUAAAGAACCAUCGAAAACCCUCCUCUACAACACACAAACAAAUGAUGGUUGACAACAACGCAAGAACGAAAGCGAUAGCAAAUGUAAGAACUGACCUCGUGGGUCCUCUCAACGAAGCAAGUGUAGAGGAUGUCUUGAAUCAAACUCCUAACACCAUAUUGAAUUGGGAGAUCCCACCUCCCAAUCCUGAAUAUCUGGAGAUCUCACGCGAAAAGGAAGCUUCUAUAUCUGCAACUAAAGAAGUACCCCCAGAGGUCCAGAAACUACUGUAAUAAUGGUUAAUGAGUACUCUAAGUGGCUUGGUUGAAGAGUCACCCCAAAACAAUGUCAGAUGCAGGUCAACAGUGGACCUUGCUGCAGCUGAGGGCAAACCCGAGAUUGUACAAGCAAAUAAUAUGCUCGUCGAUACUCAGGAAAACGGUGGUACGCUCACAGCCAUCCCCAAGAAGAUGGUGGAAAUGGAAAACGAAAACAAGUCAUUUCGUGACCAGAUGAAGGAACACCAAGAGAGGGUAGACAAGAUCCCUAGUGCUCUUAAGCUGCUUCUAAAGCAUGACGUGGGGAGGUUUGUCGAACAACCUUACAUGGAGAAGGGUGCACCAUACCCCAUCCCAAAAACCUUAAAAAUGCCUCCUUAUUUAAGAGAGUACGACGGGGGAGGUUUGUCGAACAACCUUACACGGAGAAGGCUGCACAUACCCCAUCCCAAAAACCUUAAUAUGCCUCCUUAUUUAAGAGAGUAUGACGGGACUACAGAUCCCAAGGACCACCUGAUUCACUAUGUUACGGCUGUAAAAUGUAAUGAACUAUCACAAGAAAAGGUACCAACCGUGCUGCUGAAGAAGUUCGGCAAAAAACUAACAGGAGGAGCGCUAACCUGGUACUCCCAGCUAUCGGCCCAGAUCAUUUUUACGUUAGUGUCACCGCCCAUGCAGGAGAAAAGAAGGAGGAAGCAACAGUCAACGACAUAUUUUCUAUUCGACAAACAACACGAGAAGGACUCAGGGAUUUCCUAGCCAGAUUUAAUAGAGUAAGGAUGAGCCUACCAAACGUGUCGGAAGGCAUGGCGGUCGCCGCUUUUCAGAACGGGUUAAGCAGGGAUGGCUCGAGGGCAACCAAAAAACUACUAAGCCGCCUCAUGAAGUACCCGCCCACCACGUGGGAAGAUAUUCACAACGCUUAUUGCGCUGAGGUACGUGCAGAUGAGGAAAACCAAAAAACUGCCAAGUCGUCUCAUGAAGUACCCUCCCACAACCUGGGAAGAGAUCCACAACGCCUACUACGCCGAGGUACGUUCAAAUGAUUAUGACCUCAAUGGGCCAACCCAACGUUUAACAAUAAUACACGCAGAAAUCAGAAGGGACCGAUGCAACGAAGGGAGGCAGGAACAAGUCCCAUAUCCCAAUAGGGAGAGGCACCAACCCAAUGUCAGAUAUUCUCAUCCACCACCACCAAGACACGUGGACGCACAAUAAUGACAUGUCUCCCACUAAAAAUUGAUAGAGGUAUGCCUCCUUUAUUAUAUGCACAUAACUUCUGUGUGUCCCCAUCAGAUAUAGUGUACGCAUUGAAGAAGCUGGGGACUAGAGCAUAGUGGCCCACAAAGAUGAAAUCAGAUUCAACCACCUGAAAAUCAAAUGCCCUGUGCUAGUUUCAUCAGGAACGAGGGCACAAAGCCGAAGACUGCAUAGGCCUAUGGCAAGAGGUGGUCAGGAUGUUGAACCAAGGAUUCCUGAGGGAACUACUCAGCGAUAAAGGAAAAAUCAACUAUGCACGUAGACGGGAACACCCCACAGGCCACCAAGCCACCCUCACCAACAUCCACGAUCAACAUGAUCAUCAGAGAUGGUGCUGACUCAGUGAUGAAUCACGUCAAAUUCACCACUACACACAAACUAAAGCGAACCAUCGCCCACGAACGGUAUGACGACUUUGAAGAUAGUAUCACCUUCGAUAAGUCUGAUGCCGACGAUUUGUCUUUCCCUCAUUAUGAUGCUUUAGUUAUUACUCUGCGUAUCGCAGAUACGAAUGUUAAAAGAAUCAUGGUUGAUGACGGUAGUAGCACUUGUAUUAUCCAUCUGAGGGUCCUCGUACUAAUGGGACUCGAGGAUAAGAUAAUAUUGCGCUACAUAACACUAGUUUCAAUAAUGCAGUGGAACAAAGCUUCAGAUAGAUAUCACUGCCCGUUCUAGCCGGAGGGGUCACACUGGAGAUGACUUUCCACGUAAUGAACCAGGAAAUAGCGUAUAUUUCCAUCAUCGGACGCCCAUGGAUACAUGGAAUGAGAGCGGUCCCGUCAAGCUUCUAUCAAACAAUCAAGUUUCCCAACCCAUGUGGAGUAUUCAGCAUUCGAUGCGAGCCUCGCACUGCUCAAGAAUGCUAUAAAAUAGCAAUCAGCCAUGUUGGAGACUAAGGUCGACCCAACAAAAGAUGCCUUCAGAGUCCCCGAAACCGUAGAGUCCUGCAAGGCCACGAUUGAGGAUCUCAACCCCCUCUAGAUAGACAACACCGAUCCUAUAAAGAAAGCCUACAUAUGGCACGACCUCAUUAAUCCAAUUAAGUAAUGUGAAUUUCUAUCUAACAAUGCAUAUUUUUUUGCCUUUUCCCAUUCAGAUAUGACAGUAAUCCCUCAAGACAUCGCCACUCACAAGAUGAAAGUUGACCCAUUACGCCCGCCUGUACGACAAAUGAGAUGAAAAUUCAAUGCUGUUAUCAACGAAGCGGUCAGUGAAGAAGUAGACAAACUUCUAGCCAAUGACUCCAUCAGGGAACCUGUACGACAAAUGAGAUGAAAAUUCAACGCCGUUAUCAACGAAGUGGUCAGUGAAGAAGUAGACAAACUUCUAGCCAGCGACUCCAUCAGGGAAUCAAAGUAUCCUCAAUGGGUCGCCAAUGUCGUCAUGUUCGAAAAGAAAAAUGGGAAGUGGAGAAUGUGUAUGGAAUUCACCGACUUGAACAAAGAGUGCCCAAAAGGCUCGUUCCCACUGCCCCCACAUCGACCAGCUGAUAGACUUAAUCGAAGUACAUGAGCUGCUAAGCUUCUUAGACACUUACUCCGACUAUAAUCAGAUCAUGACGGCCGAGGAGGACCAUGAGAAAACAACUUUCAUCACUCACCAAGGAACGUACUGCUACAAGGUAAUUCCCUCCGGGCUUAUAAAUGUGGGAGCCACGUACAAGAGGGUGGUCACCAAGAUGUUCAAAUAACAACUUAGUAAGUCUAUGGAAGUAUAUAUCGUUGAUAUUCUAGUAAAGUCGUGAAUGAAACAAGACCACAUCGACCACCUGAAGGAGGCCUUCAAAAUAUUAAGGAGAUACGAAAUGAAGUUAAACCCCGAGAAAAGUGCCUUCAGUGUGGCCUCAGGAAUGUUCUUGGGAUUCCUCGUAUCACAACGAGGCAUUGAGGUCAACCCCAGACUAGAUCAAGGCAAUAGACGCAAUCCCCGAAGUUUUAAGCAGCAAAAAAUAAGUGCAAAAGAUGACGGGGUGGAUAGCCGCCCUAUCCAGAUUCAUUUCACGGUCCUAUGACAGGUGUUAUAAGUUUUUCAAUGUGUUUAAAAAAGACCAAGGUCUACAGUGGAACGAGGAGUGCGUUGAAGCUUGAGGAAGCUAAAGGAGUAUCUAUCCUCGCCGCCUCUGCUGGUCAAAGCAAUCCCGGGCGAACCCCUGUUGGUGUAUCUGGCCAUAUCUGAGGUUGCCGAUAGCGUCAUCCUAGUCCGCAAAAACAAAGGUAAAAACUCUCUUAUCUAUUACAUUAGCAAAACCUUAGUGGCUUAUAUGCAAAAAAGUGAUAAAGAUAAGAACUUUUGCCUAAAAAGUUAAUUUUAGAUAAUUUCAGUCAACGUUUUGAGUAAAUAGAAUUGGACCCAUAUUUUCACAAUCCCAGUUUGUCCAUACUAAAAUAUGGGAUCCGGGCGUAUCCCCAGAAUCGAAUUCCGAGGUCCCUAGCUUUAGUUAUCAAUUUUUAUUGAAAAUUAAAAGUCUGAAAAAUCUAAUGUUUUUCCGAAUUAUUGAAUGAUUAGCAUUCUUUAUACCGGUUCCGUAUUUUAACUCCGGAGUACGAUACAGGUCCAAUAUAAUAUUUUUGACUUAUUUGUAAAAUUUGGUAGGAAACAUAGUCAGUUUGACGUGAUUUGAAUAUUUCAUGUGAUUUGGUGUCAAAUUCGUAGUUCUAGGUGUUAAUUUGGAAAUCUGCAUGCGAGCUAGUUCAUAUGAUGUUUAUAGACUAGAGUGCGCUUUUGGUUUGGAUUACCGAGGGGCUUGGGUGUAUUUUUAGAUCAUUGGUUGAGAGACUAAUUGUCACGACACCAGGUCCCCCUCCGUGAACAUGUCGUGACGGCAAUCAUGCAAGCUAGUUCAUAUGAUGUUCAUAGACUGGAGUGUGCUUUUGGUUUGUAUUCCCGAGGGGCUUGGGUGUAUUUUCGGUCAUUUGUUGAGAGACUAAUUGUCACGACCCCAGUUCCCCCUCCGUGAACAUGUCGCGACGGCACCUAGUCUCUACGAGUAGGUAAGCCUAACAAUGCAGAAAACAACAUAACAUGAGAAAUUAAAAAAUUAAAACUGAAUAACUAUAAGAAAAAAUUGUUUAUAAAUGUUGCCCGACAGUUACAACUCAAUAAUGCGAAAUUCUGGAAUAAAACAAGAAUACUACAUAAAACUCCGAAAUUUGUCUAGCAAGAUCGGAAAGUACAAAAGGGCUAAAAUACUAAAAGUAGGAAUGAAAAAGGGACUCCUCGGCUUGCGGAUCCGGCAGGUGUACCUCGAAGUCUCUGAAUAGUCGCCUCCCUCAUGGAUUAUAGGACAGAGAAGAAGUACCUCGAUCUGCACAUGAAAACCAUGCGCAGAAGAGGCAUGAGUAAACCACAAGGGUACUCACUAAGUGCGAUGCCUAACAUCGGUCGGGUAAUGAUGAGGAAAGUCAGGUCCCUACUGAGGUUAAACAAUAUAAUAUGAAUUAAUAGUAUGCAUAUAGGUAGUAAUAACAAAUACAUCAGUGAAAUAAGAUAGGUUAAACUAGGCAGUAACAAAUACACAAAGAACAGAAUAAACAUGGAACAUGUACAGCUCAAUAGCAAUGGUAACAAUGAGGAUCUCCCAAGAUCGCCUCACACUCCUCUUACAAUUGAAAUGGAGCACCCUUCUGGGUCAAUCUGGUCAUAGGGGCUGCAAUCGAUGAAUAACCCUCCACAAAACGACAGUAGUAACCCGCCAAGCCACGGAAACUGCAAAUCUCUAUAGCUGAGGAGAGCCUAGGCAAACUCUACGCGGCCUCUACCUUCUUCUAAUCCAUCCGAAUUCCCUCACUCGAUACCACGUGGCCCAAGAAUUACAUAGAACUCAGGGUCUGAAGCACAAUCCUCAGGUGUUUCUCACGUUCUUCCCGACUCCGGAAGUAUACAAGAAUAUCUUUUAUGAAAACAUUGACGAACGAGUCGAGAUAGGGUCUGAACACACUAUGCAUCAAAUGCAUUAAUGCUGUUGGGGCAUUGGUCAUCUCAAUUGGCAUAACAAGGAACUGGUAAUGACCAUACCAAGUCCUUAAGGAAAUCUUCGGGAUAUCCGGCGCCCGAAUCUUCAACCGAUGGUACCCUGGGCGCAAAUCAAUCGUAGAAAACACAUGUGCGGCCUAAAGUUUGUCAAAUAUAUCAUCAAUACGAGGCAAACGAUAACGGUUCUUUACUGUAACCUUGUUCAACUAGCAAUAAUCGAUACACAUACGCAUAAAACUAUCUUUUUUCUUUGCAAACAAGAUAGGAGCAUCCCAAGGUGAACACUGGGUCGAAUAAAAUCCUGAUAAAGAAAUUCCUUUAACUGAUCCUUCAACUCCUUUAACUCAUGAGAAGCCAUACGGUACAUAGGAAUGGAAAUGGGCUUAGUUCCCGGCAACAAAUCAAUUCCGAAAUCAAUGUCUCUAUCGGGCGGCAUGCCCGGAGGUUAGCUGGAAACACAUCGGGAUAAUCCCGUACCACUGGGACCUAAUCAACAGAAGGGGUAUCAAUACGGACAUCUUUCACAUAAGCUAAAUACACAGCGCACCCCUUCUCAACCAUAUGCUGAGCUUUAAGAAAAUAGAUAACUCUACUGGGAGUGUGAUCUAAAGUACCACUCCACUCAACACGCAGAAUACCUUGCAUAGCCAGCGUCACGAUGUUGGCGUGACAAUAAAGAAUAGCAUAAUGGGGAAACAACCAGUCCAUGAGCAAGAUAAUAUCAAAAUCGACCAUGUUGAGUAACAACAAAUUUUCUCUGGUCUUAAAACCACGAAUAGUAACCAAACAUGACUGACAAACGCAGUCCACAACAAGAGAUUCUCCCACAGAAGUAAAAACAUGAAUGGGGAAACUCAAGGAAGUCCCGAGGUACACCCAAAUACGGAGAAAAAUAAGUAGACACAUAAGAAUAAGCAUAGCCUUGAUAGAGUAGAAUUGGUACACCUCUAUAACAAACCAUGACAAUACCUGUGAUGACAAAAUUGGAGGCAGCAACCUUCUUAGGGGUAGGUGGGGUAGUAACUGGGGUUGUAACCAUGGCCUGAGAGAUCUGCGGGGCACGCUGUAGCUGGGAAGUCUUUGGUGGUGCACUCCUCCCAAGUCUAGGGAAAUACAUCACCACAUGGCAUAUGGCUCCACACAUAAAAGAACCUCGCGACUGAUGUUACAGUGGAAACUAUACGUCAAGGGUACUCCAAGAUCCCUGAACACCCGAAACCCUGUGUGAAAUUUGAGAUGCAAACUGAGUUGGAUCACCCCAAUAACCUCAGCUAUGCCGUAAUCUUACUCCAAAAUAAGGGCCAACAGACCUACGAGGUCUUCUCACUCCUCUAUACUCUUCCUCCUGACAUCGUCUGUUCUCUCUCUCCUAGACCCACAUGUCCCCUACUUGGCGAGAGGUCCUCACCACCCGCUGAACUGGGACUACAGGCUAUGUCGCCGUGGUACCUGGAACCUGAUCAAUGGGAACUCGCUGCUCUUGAGUGGGGGCGGCAGGAGUCUGGGUCCCUCCCCUGAUCUGUGAAGUAGUCGGCACAACCUGAAUCGAUCCCGCCUAGAUCAAUGUACCAAACAUGCUCAAGAACUGUGUCAAUGCCUCCUGAACAGCUGCAAUAGUGAUGGCAGUGGGCGUGUCGGGUGCCUGAGUCCUGGAUGGAUCCGCUGGUGGUACCUCCGCUGCAGCCCGCGUAGGUGUAUGCUAAGGAACUAUUCCAAAGUCUUCUGAAGGGAUGGAGAAGUAGUAGCUGUAGGCGUGCCAAGUGCGUGAAUUUCAGCUGGAUCUGCUAGUUGUACCUCAGUAUUAGCUCGUGCAAGUGCUCUCGCUAUACCACGUGCGCGUCUUCAGCCAUUACCCGGACCCCAGCCUCUGAUGGUGGCAGUAGGGGGUGCGGGUUUCUGAUCAUCUCGAGUAGCGCAUGUCCUCGCCAUCUAUGAGAGAAUAAAAGACAGAAGUUUAAAAUUAUGAUGUCUAAAAUCCCGCACGAAAGGGAAGUCAAAUGAAGUGGAAUUUUCCUAAUACUUACAUAGCCUCCCAUAGAUAAGUACAGACAUCUCCGUACCGAUCAGUAUGACUCUACUCAACCGGCUUGUGAUCCGUGACUCCUAUGAACCUAGAGUUAUGAUAGAAACUUGUCACGACCCUAGUUCGCCCUCCGUAAACAUGUCAUGACGACACCCAGUCCCUUCGACUAGGUAAUCCUAGCAAUGCGAAAAAUAACAUAACUUGCAAAAAUUAAUAAUUAAAAUUGAGUAAUUAGAAGAAACAUUUGUAUGUAAAUUCCAUUAGGCAUAUACAACUCAAUAACGCGAAAGUCUGCAAUAACACCCCCAAACCCGGAAACCUACGAAUCACAUGGUAAGACAAGAAAUACUACAUAACUCUAACUCCGGAAUUUGUCUAUAAAGAUCAAAAAGUACAAAAGGGCGAAAUACUAAAAGUAGGAAUGGAAAGGGACUCCUUGGCCUGCAGAUGCGGCAGGUCUACCUUGAAGUCUCUGAAUAGUCACCUCCUUUAAGGAUGAUAGGCCUAAGAAGAAGUACCUGGAUCUGCACAUGAAAAACAUGCGGAGAAGAGGCAUGAGUACACAACAGCGGUACUCAGUAAGUGCCAAGCCUAACCUCGGUCGGGUAGUGACGAUAUCACAAUGCUACUCAGUAAAUGACAAGCCUAACAUCGGUCGGGUAGUGACGAGGAAGGUUAGGGCCCUACUGAGAUUAAACAAUAUAAUACUAAUUAGCAAUAUGAAAACAGGGAGUAAUAAUGAAUACAACAAUGAAAUAAGAUUGGUUAAACUAGGCAGUAAGAAAUACACAAAGAACAAAGUAAUCACGAAAUAUGUAAAGAUCAAUACCAACGGUAACAAUGAGGAUCUCCCAGGAUACCAUCUUGUAGUCAUUUUCUCAUCUGAUCAGUGGAUCUCCCGAGAUACCGUCCCAUAGUCCAUCAUAUGUGUAUAUUCGAAGGAUCUUCCGGGAUACUGUCCUAUUGUCCACCUAUUAAUGUGUAGGCGGAUCCAUCGGGAAUCUAACCCACAGUCCCAAAGUAAAUAUGCAGGGGGAUCUAUCGAGAAUCUAACCCGGAGUCCCAAAGUAAAUGUGAAGUGGGAUCUAUCGGGAAUCGAACCCACAGUCCCAAAGUAAACAAAAAAGGGAGGGAGCUACCGGAAUCCCAUUCCCGUAAUCCCAAUGUAAAUACACAGUCAUAACAAGAAGACAUCCAGAAAUAGAGUGCAAAAAUACAAGGCAACUGGUAGUUCUAACCUAACAUACUUCAUGUAGUACAACUAAAGCAACUUAAGCAAACAAGAAAUUUAGGUCAACUAAACAUGCUUUUCUAAACUAACAUAGGCUAGAAUUGCAAGUAGAUUAAAGUAGGUAAGAAGGAAAACUCAGUCCAAAUAUAUAAGGUAAAAUCGGAUUUUCAACAAAUAGCUCAAGUACGCGCUUGUCACCUCACGUACAAGGCAUUUAAUCACCAAAUAACAUAUCCUAAGGGAAGGUCCCCCACAUAAGGUUAUACAAGCCACUUACCUUGAACCGACAUACAAUCAACUAGAAACCAUGCGUCGCCGCGAGUAUCCGACUCCAAAUGGCCUAAAUCUAUUCAAUUCAAUUACAUAUUGUAAAUAACGUUGCAAGAAACUAAUUCUACUUUUUAAUUCAAAGCUAAAGCGUGAAAUUCAGUGAAAUUGCCAAAAUGCCCCUCAAGCCAACAUCUCGGAAUCGGAUAAUUUUCACAUUUUUAGAACCCACGUACUCUCACGAGUCUAACCAUAUAAAAAUCUCCCAAAUCAGAGGUCAAACACCCACUCAAAACUCAGUAGUUUGGUCUAUGAAGUUUUUCCUAUUUUUCAUUCAAAAAUACGAUAUUAAGUAUGAAUUCAUGAAUAGAUUAGUGGGUUUUAAGCAUAGCAGAAUAGAGAAUCGUUAUCCAGUAUUUCCCUCGAAAAACCUUCGAAAUUUCACCAAAAUCCGAGCUUUCAAGCUUAUAUUUUGAUAAUAGCUAACCCUCGUUUUGAAUGAUUUGAUACUGCCCAUAUAUUUAACGAAUCGCGAAUGCGGAGAUGAGCUCGCGUUCACGGAGAAGAAAAAUAGAAGGUGUCAAAAAUUCCCUUCGCGAUAGCGAGGGUAGAACGCGAACGUGAAUGCCUGGGAUAACAAUGCUACGCGAACGCUACGUUUGGAACGAGAACGCAAUGAAUAAAAUGUUGAGGUCCGGAAGUUGCUCUACAAGAACGCAUCGAAUCGUUCACGAGCGUGAAGGACAAGCUGGCAUAGGUACACGAACGCAUGGCAGCAUAUGUGAACGCGAUGGGGAAGUAAGUACAGCUUCCCGAUCGUGAAAGGGGUUAUGCGAACGUGUAGAAGGAACUUUCCCCCUUCAAGAUUACACUGUGCGAACGCAAGAGAGGGGCCGCGAUCGCGAAGAGGAAAAGUCUGCAACAGCUAAGUUAAGUUUUUCGCAAUUUUUAACAUCACAAAAAUGCCCCGUUGAGCAUCCGAAACACACUCGAGGCCCCCGGGACCUCAACCAAACCUACAAACACAUCCCAUAUCAUCAUUCAAAACUUGCACCAAGUCAUUAAACCAACCAAAAGAACGCCGGAAACUCGAAUUAAUCAAGAAUUUGAGACUAAGAACUUCAAAUUUCAACAAAAUACAGUUUCGAUAAAAAAUCUAACCAAAAUACGACCAAAUGACCUAAACGUUCGCAUACACAUUUCAAAUGAUAUGAUGGAGCUACUGCAACUUCUGGAACUCCAUUCCGACCCUCGGAUAAAAAACUCACUAUCGGACCGGAAACUUUAAAAAUUCAAACUUCGGCAUUUCAAAAUGAGCAACGAAAAUCCGAAAUGCAUUCCGAAUACUUUCCCAAUCAUGAAAUCACCUAAUGUAUCUAACAUAACCAUCAGAUUUACAUUCCGAGGUUGUCUUCAAAUUGUUACGACUACAGAUUACUUUCCAACACUUAUGCUCUCACUUAAGGACUAAGUAUUCCAAAACUCUCUGAAACCCAAUGGCGAACAUCCCUUCAAAACAAAAUAAAAGAAGUAAACUUAGGAGAAGCGGUUAAUAGGGGAUCAGGGCGUAAAUUCUUAAGACGACCGGCCUGGUCGUCACACUAGUAAAGUUAAGAAACGUGGCAAUUUGACCAUACGAACUUUUUUCAGUGUUUUGAAUGCGCGAGCAGGUCGGUAGCAUGUUUUAUGAUGAAAAUUCAUAUAUGGUUUGUGUCUGAGAGGUUCCAAAUGAGUUUCGAGGUGGUUUCAAAUCAUUUCAGAGAAGCUUGGAUUUUUCUGGUUUCUGGUGCGACAGUGUUCAUUCGCAAUUGCGAACCAUUUGUGACAAUUGUGAAAAUACUAUUCAUCCGCAAAUUCCAACUAUUUAUGGCAAUUGCGAAAAUUCUGUUCAUUGGAAAUGCAAUGUUUAGUUCGCAAAUGCGACAUAAACAGCAUGUUAAGUGUUGAGAAUCCGAGUUUUUGCUUCAUUUUUCUUAUUUUUUAACCGUAGCUUCGAAGUGACGCGAUUUUGAGAGGAGAUUAUCAUACCAUAAUAUUAAGUAAGUAUCUUUAACCAAUUUCCAACUAUAUUUCAUAAUGUUAUACAAAGAUUAACAUCAAAUUUAUGGGAAAACUAUGGAAAAAUUUGGAAAUUUUGUCAAAGUUUUGAAAAAUAAAAAUUAGUAAUUUGGGAGUCGAAUAAGACUCGUAUUCGAAAACAAAACACAUAUUUCAACUCGUGGGGCAAUGGGUAGUCAAGACCUACCUUUGGACCCAGGUAUUGACCGGAUGGGCCAAGGAUUUUACUUCUGUUGACUUUUCAAAAAUUGAAUAAAAAUCAUAACUUUAUUAAUUGAAAUUGUUUUGUCUUGCAUUGUGUGAUGUAUUGAGUCUCAAUUGGCUAGAUUGAGUCGAACGAAGAUUAAUUCAUAAAGGAAAAGGCUAAAUCGAGUGUUGGAUAGCCGAAUUAUGAUAAGUGUUUUACCUAGCUUCGUUGAGGGAAUUUUUCCUCCUAUUUUCAUUAUUUGCUACUCCUAUAAAUAAGUGGCAAUCUGGAAUAUGUUUGUGGUUCUAUUUCUAAUUUAUGAAAUUGUUCUGCAUGCUUUUGUAUUGAACAAAAGUCUACUACUCCCUAUAUAAGUAAGAGAAGUUACUUUCUAUUAAUAUUCCUUUAGUUUUGUUAUUAUAUCCGUGACCGUUUUACAGGAAAAAAUAAAAAAUCAAGUAAAGAAUUGAUGAAUUAUGUAUACAAAAUUAACAAUAACAACCAUGCGUCGAUCACAUCCAUCAAAUAUACUUAAUCAAACGGCUGAAUUCCUUGAUACCUAACCCUAUACAUCACACAUUCCGAGCAACUACCAUAAGUCAAUAAACAUAUUCCUUCGAACUAUAGUUGACACAAGUAUACCAUUCAUUGACAUCGUACCAAGGUUUCGGUAUUCCUAAUCACACCUUUAAACCAUUCGUAUUGUUUCCCCUCAUAAUUCAGGAGUGAUGUUGUUCAACAACUACCUAAGUAUGUACCCUUUUCCAAACAAUACAUACUAAAUAGGCACGGUCAUUUGAUGGCCAUUCAAUCAAUAACAAUAAACACGUAGUUGAACAAAUAGAAAAAUCCAACACUUCAAUUAUAUAAACACAUAUCAAGAAUUUAUCCUACAAAAGGUUCUAUCAAAAUUCUUGAUAACAAAAUUGGCAAUUCAUAAUAGUAUACAUAACUACAAUAAUAGAAUUCAUUACCAAUAAAGGAAAUAGGAAGAAGGAAGUGAAAAACUCAUAGAAAAAUUUUUUGCUUUACUCCUAGUGUGUUCUUGCCUCCUAGAGCCAAAUCCCCGUAACUGCGGUAUUUAAUGACGAUUUAUAUAUGUUUGGAAAAAAUCUAGACGAAAUAACCAAAUCCUAAACCAAAAAUAAAACCAAAUAUUUAUUGCCUAACACUCUCAUUUCUUUCUUUUGCUUUCCAAUUUCAUCUCACAUCAAUUUGCACACUUUAUCCUUGAAUAAAUUUGUCUUCAAUCAUUAACCAAUCAUGAUAUCAUAAUAUUCUCCAUCAUUAAGUAAUCACAAAUCAUUUUUGCAGUGCAUAAAAUACACAUUAAAUCUCUAUUUUUCUUCCAAUUUCGUUUUCAACGUACCUACACAUAAAUAUCGUUAAAUAAUCACAAAUCAUUCUUACCCUGCAUAAAAUACACAUAAAAUCUGUAUUUUGCUCCCAAUUUUAUCUUCAACGUACUUACACAUAAAAUAAACUCAAUUCAGUAUAAAUAUAAUACAAUUUUGCAUUAAAGCACAUAAAUAUAAGGUAGGUAAUGCACUAAAAAUAUAUAAUUAGAGGCAAACAUCACUACCCAACUUAAACGUUGCUCGUCCUUGAGUCACCCAACAAUCCACACUAUCAUUAAGCACUUUAUAUUUACACAAUUGAGGCACACUACACGACUGAUUAUGAUUCAUAGCAACAAUUAAGCUAGAGCAAUUGACAUCAACACACACUUCACUUUACUACACUUCCCUUUACUUUAUGCCAUACUUCAACAUUUUAUUCAACAACAAGACAAUAUGCUUUAUAUCAAUCCUAGCCUCAUAAACUGGCUCAAUGUCAUAAUGCACUCAUAGCUUGAACACUCAACAUCGCAGAGAAGUCUACUAAUGUUACAUAUCCCUUAUGAAACCAUGUGUCCUCACAACAAAAAUAACAGAGUAAGUUGAAUCCACAUAUUCAAAUCAAAUACUCAAUUAUAUUUUAAGGACUCAUAUAUAUCAAAAAAUAUCACCCACUCUCAUAAAUAAGUCACAUGCAUGCAAUUGGUACCAUAUGUUUGCCCUUAAUGUAAAUAUCUACUAAUGUAAGCUCACUCAAUCUAAAUCAAUUGGGAAUUUUUCAAAGUUGUAAUGUGGGCAAAAGGACGGGUACAAUAUAUUUAGGAAUAGUGGUCCACCUUCCUAAGUACUUUAACACAUCACAUAACCGACUUUAAGAACCAAUUCUCUUAAUACAACUUCAGCUUCAUAAACAAUAUCACCCCAAAAAUAUUUCUUUUUUCUUUAAGCACUAUCUUCAUUUACACUACAUUAGCAAAAAUAAGAUAUUUAUUCAUUUAGAUUUUUUUCUUUUUUAUGAAUAUUUUUUCUUUUUCAAUUUUUCGUAGUGGUGUAUUAUUUUACAAAAUAAGUGCACCCUUCUUUCUUUCGUUGGUUCCACUCAAAAGUCACCCCACACUUAGUCUCUUCUUACUUUUUUUUAGUGCUCAUCUCACAAUUAAAGUGGUUUAAGAGGUAAAAUGAUAAAAAAAUAUCAAUUAAGAAUAAAAAAAGUAUGUGAUUGUAAUGUGUGGGCCAAAUAAAAACAUAUAGGAUCAAAAUAGUUAACUAGGGAAUUAUAUUUUAUUUGUAAUAAGAAAUAAAGCUCAAAAAAAUCAAAGAAAGCCUAAAAUUAUUUUUCACAUCAAGCUUCACCUAAAAGUUUGCUUCAUGUCACGACCGAGAUUUUCCAUCCUCGGGAGUCAUGAUUGCGCCUACAAGUGAAAGUUAGGCAAGUCGACCAUGUGGAUCAUUUACUUUCUUCCCAUUUUAAUCCUUUUUUAAUUAAUAACCAACAUUAGAAAAACAACAGAAUUUAAUAGGCGGAAGACUGAAAUGUAAUAUUUAAUAAAGACGCCAAUACCAAUCCAUAAAUAAACUACCCAAGACUGGUGUCACAAUUCCAUUGACUGUCCAGGAAUAGUAAAAAUAAAGGUCCGAAAGAUAUAUGACAACAAAAAUACAUAAAACAAAACAGAAUUAAAGGAUAGGGGAAGACGCCAAGAGAGGUCGAAUUGUAUCCUAUUUGACUAUGGCCAUUGGCUGUAGUUGUGUUAUUUUGAGCUAGGUCAGAAUUGUAUCCUGUUGUAGUUCGAGCAAGGUCGAAUUUUUCUUUUGGAGAAUGCCGAUGGCCGUAGGGGUGUUAUUUCGAGCACGGUCAAAAUCGUAACCCGUUGUAAUACGAGCGAAGUCGAUUUUUUUUUUUGCAAGGGCUGAUGGUCGUAGGGGUGUUAUUUUGAGCAAGGCUUGUAUUGUAACCCAUUGUAAUUCGAGCGAAGUUGAACUUCUUCUUAUGGUGAUGGCCGAUGGACAUAGGGGUGUUAUUCCAAGCAAGGUCAGCAUUGUGACAUGUUGUAAUUCGAGCGGGGUCGAAUUUCUCUUUUGGCGAUGGUUGAUGGCCUUAAUGGCGUUAUUUUAAGCAAGGCUGAAAUCGUAACCCGUUGUAAUUCGAGCGGGGUCGAAUUUAUCUUUUUGCGAUGUUCGAUGGACGUAGGAGAGUUAUUUCGAGCAAGGUAAAAAUUAUAACCCGUUGUGAUUCGAGCGGGGUAAAAUUUCACUUUUUCGCGAUGGCUGAUGGUUCUAGGGGUGUUAUUUCGAGCAAGGUCGAAAUUGUAGCCCGUUGUAAUUCAAGUGGGGUCGAAUUUCUCUUUUGGCAAUGGAUGAUGGUCGUAGCGGUGUUAUUUCGAGCAAGGUCGAAAUUGUAACCCGUCCUAUUAUUUUUGUUGGAGUAACUCGUCGCCCUAUUGUUUACGUCGGCACCGGGGCAAGUCCCGAUUUUCUUAACUUUGCUUUUAUUGAAAAAUACAGUACGUUUAUCAUUGGAGAAUACUUGUGCGUCUCGUGGGUGAGUCCUAGUUUGCUUAAUUUUUCAUUCAUUGGAGAACGUUGUGAUUUUCUUGGGUGAGUCCCUGUUUGCUUAAUUUCGCUUUUAGUGGAGAAUGCUAUGUGUUUCCUCUUCUGAACCGACAAGAGAUUAAGAUAAGUUAAAAGUAAACAAAAUAACCUACUACCUUGGUUUGGCAAGUCGGCGAAAGGGGGAAUGACACUGUGGGCUCACGACAAGAGAUUAAGGUAAGUUAAAAGUAAACGAAAUAACCUAUUACUUUGGCCUGGCAAGUCAGCGAAAGGGGGAAUGACACUGUGGGCUCACUCGCUUUGCCUCGUACAUGACUAGUGGUUUUAGAUUUGGCAGCCAUGUUCAGCUUCAUUUUUAACCGUGGCUAGGCUUUAUGUGGGUUGGACUUGCCUCACCCGUUGGGACAUCGAGAUCGAGUCCCAAUCCGACGCCGUCAGAUAUGCACAAACAAUAAGGGAAACAUGUCAUGCUUUGCUAAUAAAUCAUCUAGUGCGUGUGGGCACGGAUAUAGGGCAGGAUACGCUCGCUAUUCCGAAGUACCACACAGUAGGCUAUUGUUCUUUCCUAAGAGGGGGGAGUAGAGAUCGGUAUAUAAGGUGAAUAUAUCAAAUGAGGUUGCGGUCAUACACAGUAGGCUAUUGUCCUUCCCUAAGAGGGGGGAGUACAGAUCGGUAUAUAAGGUGAAUUCAUGAAAUGGGGUUGCGGUCAUGUUAGGUGUAUGGUGACCGUGGUUCUACUUUAAAUGUGCAUAUGACGUGCCAAACCCAUCACUAUCGGCGAGACAUGGGUUUCGCAUAGACAUUGGUCGCAAUUUCUAUUCUAAGUAAAGACCUAGCCUUAAUUGGUACGGUUAUUUCAAAUGUUUUCUUACCAUUCUUUCGGGUGGUGUUUAUGCCGUGAUAGUGAGGCUACGGAAUACUGGCAGUGAUACUUGGCUGGAUCUGGAUCUAAAGAAAACUAAAAAAUUUGGCUAAAGAAUCCUCACGGACGGCGUCAAACUGUUUUACCAAAAAAGUGUUGAACCUUUUAGUUAAACUAAUUAAUAAAAAAAUGGAGGAUAAAUCUUACAUAACUAACUCUAGCUCCAAACAUAUUGAAUAUGAAAAUCGAAGGAGGCCAAGCUUCUAUAAAUCCUCACAGACGGCGUCAAACCGUUUGACCAAAAAAGUGUUGAACCUUUUUGUUAAACUAAUUAAUAAAAAAAUGGAGGAUAAAUCUUACAUAACUAACUCUAGCUCCAAACAUAUUGAAUAUGAAAAUCGAAGGAGGCCAAGCUUCUAUAACAUUUCUUAAUAUGAUUAACAGAAAUUAAAUAUAAAUGAUAAGCUUACAUCUUUGAUAUAUUUGUUUCGUUCUUGUAAGAGAUGAUUAACAGACAUUAAAUAUAAAUGAUAAGCUUACAUCUUUGAUAUAUUUGUUUCGUUCUUGUAAGAGCAAGGAAGGAAAGGAGGAAACGUUAUUGAUAACUAUGAGAUUUAUCUUUGUUGAUUUAACAAUAAUUAUUACAAAAGGUUGUACCAAAAUAUGGACUGUUGGUUUGUUGUUGAGGAUCUCCUCUUGUUCUCAUCUUUGAUAUAUUGUUCAUUUCUUUUCUUUGAUGGGAGCUCCCCUCUCUCUCGCCUUCCCCCUCAUAUAUAUUGUAAUAACCUGAAUUAUUUUAUGUACUUAUUUAUUGUCAGAUUAGCAAAUUAAAUUUUUCUUUGUAGUUACUGAGUCAUAUACUAAGGCAACGAAAGAAAAUUUAUUAUAAUAUAUAGGACUCCAGGUAUGAAUAUUAACUUUAACAUACACUUUGAAUUUAUUUUGUCUAGAAUAAAAGUGAUGGCAAGAUAAAGUGUAUAAGCCAACGAUUAGGAUGAUAACUACAGGACCAUAUAUUAUAGCAAUAAUUCGUAAGCCUGUAAAAUUAUAUACCGGGGGAUAUCAAACAUAGAACUGAUCUAUGAAAGAGUUAUUUGGGCUUUACUAUCUUAGAAUAUUGGUGGCUAAAGGAAGAUAAAUAUAAUUGUUGGCAUAUCACGGUUAAUAGGCUAUAAUUAAGUUAAUUUAAGAAACUAGGAGCAGUAACAAUUCAUUGUCUUUUACUAUCAUUAGUGAUGAGAACCAUGAUUAGGAAUUUAACUAUCACAUGAAAGUUAUGAAACAUUGUAUGUUACAAAGAAAAACAAAGGUAUAAGAACGUGAAGUUCUUCUAGGAUGCUACCAUUGCAGCACUACAGUGCCUCAUUUGACAUUUAAUUUUGACUUGCCCGAAAAUUAUAGAAAUUAUUCACCUCAACUAAUUAGAACGUGUUAUUUAAUAUUCUGUAUAGAUUGAGGCUAUUGGAGGUUGUUCGGUUGAUGUUCUAGAAGUAACAUGGUCUUGUCGUUGGCUAGGUAAGUAAGACUUUAAGCUUUGGAUGCUUAUUUUUUCAAAACCUAUUUUGAAAGUAUAAUUUUUCGCCCGGUCCAUGUGUUGGGACAAGCGUACGCUUGGCAGAAUCGGUGGUCGUUGACUAGUCGCAAAUAUAUACUAUUUUUAAAAAGCUAAAAUUAUUUAAUGAGUGAUUUGUGAUGUGGUGUAGCCUCGUGCUAUGUCGUUGAGGCGUUAGAAUUUAUUCCUUCUGUGUCGUAACAUAUACUGGGGCAUUGUUUAUGCCGCCGUUAUAAAAUUUGGGGCAUUGUGUAUGCCGCCGUUAUAAAUUUUUGGGCAUUGUGUAUGCUGUCGUUGUAAAAUUUGGGGUAUUGUGUAUGCCGCCGUUAUAAAAUUUUGGGCAUUGUGUAUGCUACCGUGGACUCAUCGGGAUGUUGUUUAAUUUCCAUCACUACUGUUAACGAUAAGUCCUUAAUGUAGAUUGUGUUGAUAUAUAGUGUUGUUGUUGAACAAUUGUUUGGACCUUAUAGAGUAAUUAUAUGGUAAAAGAAUUUCUGUGCAUAUUAUUUCUGUUCUCUUUGUGUGUUUGUAUUUUCUAACACUUGUUCCAUAAAUAUUCAGAGUGGCGGGUUGAUGAUCUUACUGGAUUAUUGUGAUGACCCGAUCCAUCGUCACAUGGGUUACCGCCCGGUUUUUCCCUUUUGAUGCUUCUAUAUGUUUUCAUUAUAUGUGUUUGUAGAGUUUGGUUGGAAUUGAGACAAUUAGUCUCUUUAAGAGAAGGCUAGUUUAGAAAAGUCAACCGGAUGUUGACUUAUGAGUUAUAGGGCUCGGAAUGGAUUUCCGACGAUUCGACUAGUUUUGGGUUGUGAUUUAUGACUUAGGGGUGAAAUCGGAACUGAAUUUGGGUGUCCGGUGUAGAAUUAGGCUUGAAUUGGCUAAGUUCGAAUUUCGGCGAAUUCUGGUUGGUAGGUGAGAUUAUUUAUCUAGGAUUGGAAUGGAAUUCCUAGAGUUGUUGUAGCUUCAUUAGGUUAAUUUGGAUAUGUGUGAAAAAUUUCAGGUCAUUCGGACGUCGUUUGGUUGGACUUUUUUUCGUACGUGAAUUUCGAAAGUUCUUAAGAAAAUUAGGCUUGGAUUGGAGAAAUUUGGUGAUUUUUGGUGUUAAUGUUAGUGUUUUUGUGGCUCGAUCAAGUUUGAAUAAUGUAUUAGAUCAUAUCGAUGUUUUUGGUUUAGGCCCCGGGGGGCCUCGGGGUAACUCCGGAUGGUUAAGAGGAGGUUGUAGGAGUUUUUGCCAUUUUCGUUGUGCUGGUUUUGUUAUUUUCGUGUCUACGGAAAAGGAGCCGCUUAAGCGGUUCCGCAGACGCAGCGGGUGAGCCGCAAAGGUGGCCAAUGGGAAGUGGCCUGGAUCGCGGGUGCGGAAGGCAGACCGCAUAGGCGGUGACCACGCAAGCGGUAGUUGACCGCAAAAGCGGUCCCUGGGAGAAUAAGUUGGACUGCAAAAGCGGUCGAGUGCACGUAGAAGCGAGAGCCGCAUAAGCGGAGGUAUGACCGCAGAAGCGGAAAUCGUGCUCUGUUUAAUGAAUAGACAUUUCACAAAUUUGAAAAGAGAAGAACAUUUGGACCUCGGACUAAGGCGAGUUUGGGAGCGAUUAUGAAGAGGAUUUUGGGGUAUUCUUGGACGUAGGGUUCAAGGUUUUUAAGGUUAAAAAUGGUGGUUAGGGCUUGAAACCCAAGUGAGCUUAAAGUGCAGAUUUGAUGGGCUAAAUGGACUUCGAUUCUUGUAAAUUUGAUAUGUACGGACUCGUGGAAAGACGAGGAUUUCGGUGAUGUAAUUUUUGUAAUUUUUUGAGAUGUGGGCCUGGGGAUCGGGUAUUGCUCACUUCGUACUUUUGGGUGUUUUUCAAAUUCUUUCUAUUAGGUUAUGUCCCAUUAGCCUAUUAUAACAUAUUUCUUGUGGUUUUGGUCAGAUUCUGCACUUGAGGAGGUCGAUUUGCGAGUAAAGCGCAAGGCGAGCUAGGAUUUUGGCCGUUUUGAGGUGAGUAAUGGAUAUGAAUGAUAUACCGAGGAUUUGAAACCUCGUAUUUGCACUAUGCGGUGCUAUGUUAAAAUAAAACACACGUCAUAUAAUGAGAGUGAUGAUGUUUCUGCUGGGGACUUGGACGCUGUCCAUCCCGAUUGAUGAUUUACUGCACUAUUUGACUGGGAUUGAGCUUGUACCCGUAUAUAUUUGGGCUAGUUGCCAUGUUUGGGGUGUUGUGCCGACCAUUAGAACUCCUAGGGAGCAUGUUGAGCCGAUUGACCUCUCUUUACCUAUUGAACGCAUACCAUAUGUCCUGACUUUGACUGUAAAUCAUGAAAUAAAUUGGACGUAGUAACUUGCACCCUAAAUGAGCACUACGUAGGUUGAAUUCCUUGUCUUAGCUAAGUGGGCCCGAAAGGCCAAGUCUUUAUUGAAUGUGAAGGGUCAAGGAUCCCGUAGUGAGGGUAGUUGAUAUAUACCGGAUGGGGUUGCGCGCCGUAUAUAUAUAUAUAUAUAUAUAUGUAUGUAUAUAUUGGAUCGAGCAGCACGCCGCAUAAUUUUAUACUAUAUGGAUCAGACCGCACGCCGCAGUACUAUAGCGCUUGGGCUGAAGGAGUCCCUCCGGAGUCUGUACACACCCCCAAUGAGCGCAGUACUAUAUUAUUGGCUCGGGCUACAUGCCGCAGCAUUAUAUAUAUUAUAUUGGAUCGGGCUGCAUGCCGCAACAGUGUUAGUACCUGGUCGGACGGAAAAAGAGAAGUAUUUAUUAUAUUCUCUCCCAUGUUUAGCAUUAUUCACUAUCGUCACUGUUGAUAUUAGAGCUUCAUAGUGUUUUUACCGGAUUUCUUACAUUCAGUUGUUAUUUAUUGCUAUUACUCACUGAGUUGGAAGUACUUACUCUACUCCCUGCACCUUGUAUGCUGAUACAGGGAUUCCGUUUGCUAGCUGUAAUUAGCUGUUAUUUUUCAGUUCAGUACCGGAGUUUUCAAGGUAGAUGCUGGCGUCCGCAGGAUCAGAUCUCUCCUCUAUCUAUCUUUUGUUUCUAUAUCUAGACCUUUCCUUUGUAUAGGAUACUGUUCGGUUGUAUCUAGAGGCUUAGACUUGUGACGCCGGAUACUUUGGGCUGUUAUUACUCUUGAUUACGUUUUCCGCAGUAUUUAUAUUAUAAUCAAACUAAGAAUUAUGCUAAAAACAAUUGGUAUUCAAGUUAAUGAUUUGGCUGGAAAAUGAUUAAAUGGUCGGGCUUGCCUAACAAGGUGUUUGGCACCAUCACGACCGGAAUUUGGGUAGUGACAAUUAUAUACGUAUUACUCACUCCUUACCUGCAUAUCCAUGCAGUUACUAUUGGUGAAGACGGAGCUAGUAGCCGAUGAGUUCGCUAGAGUUGAUUCAAUCAUUCGGUGAGCCGCCACAUUGUUCGUAGAGGCUGCCCAAAAAGUCUUUGUCAUUUAUUAAUGUGAGGUCUUUUGUAAUUCUCUUAUAUCUUCCAUGGUCCAGUGUGGGAUUUGGGUUAGUGUGUUAAUCUUAUAUUUCAAGACAUUAAUUAUUCGUAAUAACUAUCAGAUUAAUUGGAUACUAAUUUAAUCAAUUAAAUGCUGUAAAUUAAUGGCUAAGGUGAGAAAGUAUAGUUCGCCCGGUAGGUGGGUUAGCUGGGUGCCAGUCACGUCUUGGGGGUAGUUUGGGAUGUGACAUAUAUAUUGCAAACUCCCCCCUUUAGCCAACAGUAUUUACCCAACGGACCCUCUCGUGACUAUACUCUUCCUUUCUUUCCCAAGUAUUACGACGUAUGUGCUAUCGUGUAGGCCUUCUGACGGCUCGAUUUUGAUAGUAGCCGAGAUACUUUUCGAUGUUAUGCCUCUUGGUAAUGACUACGGCUUGGUGGACCUCUUACCAUUACAUUUAAUGAUGAUCACUUAUGAUCAGAUUUUAACCCAUACAAAUACAUGUAUUAAUUUGGGUAGUAUUAAUAUGUUGUUAUGUAAUAUUUUUUACGUUAUGUUUAACUAUUACUAUAAGUUAUACAUUUUUUAUGUAUAGUUUUUAAUUAAUGGAUAAGUAUAUAUAAACACUACUAGAAAACUGCCUAAAACCGUUCAGAAAUACCGACCGAAAUUGGUCAAAAAACUAGAAAAAUCGUCUGAAUUUAAUUCGUCGAAAUUAAGCUGGUCGGUAAUAAAUAGCAACCGAAGUCGGUCACAAUUUUCGAUUGAUUUCACUCGGUCAAUAAUAUUUUGCAAGCGACCAAAAAGAAAAAUCUGCCCAAAACCCGACCGAAGACGGUCGGUCGGUAUUAAAAUAAAAAUAAAUUUCAAACUUAUAUUUUUAUUCUGAAACUAACCCCUCAGUCUUAUGCCUAAAUCUUUACUUCAGUGCUUUUCGAAAAAUGCCUCUUGACAACUUUACUUUUACUUAAGGAGUCCGGCUAAUUUGCAAGCCAUCUCUGAACUUCUGCAAUUUUUAUUUUUCCGUUUCAAAACUCUCCGGUACAGGCUCCAAUCUAAAAUUAGUGCUUUCCGAAUCACUUAUUUAAAAAUACCUUAAGUUCUGGGUUGCCUAAUGCGGACUUUAUAUCCAACUUUAUGUGUUAAGCUAAUCUGCCCAAUGUUAAUUUUAAUUUUAAGACCAAACCAAUACAUGUAAGUCUUACUAAAUUAAUUGUUGUGUGAUCUACGGGGUUCUGUAUGAGCCUUUGAGUGUUUGACUUGUAUACCACUAUUUGUUAUUUAUUUUGAUUGACGCCUUAGUAUUUUAUCUUUUUAAACUCUAUAUAUGCCUCCAUCCCCUUCUCCCUUUAGGAUUAGAAGUCCAAAUACCCCGGGACAGAUAGGUUGGGAUGGGUACUAGCAUGCAAUAAGUAAACAAGACUAAUCGCGCUUAAAUACCUUAACGGGGUGGGAAGGGUAGAAUAUGACGAUGAUGACGAUGCAGUGAUAUCAUAAGGUGACGCCUCUUUGAAGAAUAUGUGCGGAAUAUUGCAUCGAAUGAUCCAUAUUAUAGUUAAACCUAGGACCCUCUUAUUUUACUUUUCCUUUAUUUAAAUGUUUUCUUCAAACUAAAACACUCUUUUACUUGUGCGAUUCCUCCUUAAAAAUUGUCAACUUGCUUGAAUUUCUUAUGUGCAAACUUUGUUCGUCUACUCCUACCCUUCUUAAAGUCACAACUAAGCAAGGCCGGGAAACACACUAGUGAAUCUUGAGGGGUGCCUAACACCUUCCACUCGAGAUAAUCUCAAGCCGUUACCCAAACUCUGGUUUUCUUUCAAAUCUUUCUUCUUUUCUCGAAAAGUGUCCUAAUGCACUAUAAUCAUUAGGUGGCGACUCUUCAAACGUUAUAGCCCAAAUUCCCCCAAAAGGGGAUAAAGGAUUCAUUCCACCCAUAAUGUCAUAAAUCUAAUUUCUCUCCCCGCGAGGAAAAAGGGGGCGUGGACACUAGAUUGUUGGGUCUUCCAAAAUUAGUCGCGUACCAAUCUUCUCUGAAACAGGUCGACAGCAGGUACGACACUCCUCCGCAUAAGGCAGCAAUUUAGCCGCCCGUUGUCUAAUAGUGUUGAUAAAUCGGGGCGGAGAGGCCCUCGCUACAAAGAAAGAAAAAUCAUAGCGGCCAAAUAGUCAAGGCCUUCAAAGCUUCAUACAAACAAGAAAUUCGACAAACGGAGGUACUCACAUUCCGAAUUCCAUUUCUCUGGGAAUCCGUCAGGGUUGGGUACCAGAUAAUCCGUUCUAAUUAAAAAAUACCUACGCAUGAAGCCACGACUAGAUUUGACAUCGGUCUUGACUACCAACCCUUUCGAGCCACGAAUCAUCAAGUGUAACAUACCCCUAGGUAACCAGUAUUAAACCAGUGAAAAAGAUGAUGAACAAAGACAUCGCACCCGGCCCGCUCCGCGUACGUAAUCAGAACCCUGCUCACCUUCAAGGUAUAAGGGUGAGCUGGGUCGGCACACGUUGUAAAUUUGGCAAAACUCCUCCGCCGAAUGAUUAAUGGGGAGACUGUAACCGAUCAAGAAUGGGUAUUCAUAAAAUGUGCAGUAUCCCGAUAUGUGAACGUUUGAGUAAUCCGUUCCCGCCGAGACCAUUUGCACAUGAGUCAGAAUGUUAUGUGCCGCACAAAGGUCGUUUAAAUGAUUUUGCAUCAGUUCAUUGUUUUUUCAGGGAAGAGUGGGGUAUGGUCUUCUGAAGUCACCUCGAACGAGAAGUUCUUUCAGCAGCACAUUAUCCAUAGUAAGAGGAACAAGAGCCUUUUCCACUUCCUCCUCUUCACAGCCGGAGGAAGGCGGUACCCUAGAUGGGGCGGUGUCUUUAGCCUUUUUGUCAUUUUAGUGACGCUUUGCCAUGGUUUCCAUUCAAAAAUAUGGUAUGAACAACGGGAAGGGUGACUUCUAAGAAAUAGAGGAGUCUCAAAUGAAAGAACAGUUAUUUGGGAAGGAAAACUCCGUUCAAAAAUAAGGUAUGAACAACGGGAUCAAAGAUAAAUCACGUUGAACCCUUCCCCUAUUUAUAUGGUUGGGUGGCGCAAUGAUCGAAGAGGCAUAAUUCAAAACGGGUGCGAAAAAUUGAACGUCUAAUAACCCUCUGAACCGUCUUGAGAACAUGUGUAAUAAUGAUGCAUGCGGGCGUUGAUGUCAUUCUAAAGCGGAAGUCACGCGUCAGCAGCCUAACAAUCUCAUAUGUUUUAUCUCAUUUAUGUUACCCCCUUCGAGUAAUGUAAAAUUCUCACAAAACGAGGAUUGAAGUUCCGUCCCUUGGGGACGCUUCCCAAUGCGCCCCCAACGGACAGAGGGACUAUCUGUAUGGAGUCGAAUUCCACUCUUAACGUCUCCGCAUUAGUGGGUACGACCGACGGAUGUGCGACAAGCUAGGCGUGAGGAUGGGAACGACGCCUUUUAAAUUCGGCGUCCCCACUAAGGGAAUAUUACCUACUCUUGUUCUAUUUUUAUUAUUUCGAGGAGUGUCUCCAACUAUAUAAAAGAGACCCUAAUGUUGUAAACGGAUCCAUAAUUAUUCUCGGAUAAUAUAAUUCUCUCUUUCUCUCUCUAUCUCUAAAAAGAUAUUCUUCCAAUAUCAUCAGAUCUACUUGAACAAUAUUAUUUUUAUCUCUAGUCCUUAUUAUAUUGGAUUACGAUUUACCCUCAUUUAUUUUGAUUGGUUUAUGCUUACAAAGUAUCCUGAUAAAUUUUGAGUCAAACAGUUUUGGUAAAAGAGUCGGCUUGCCUAGUUCAUCGAUAGGCGCCAUAACGAUAUGGUAGAUUAGCCUCGUGACAAGUGUUAACGGUUCUUGUUCAACAUUACGGGUCGUUUGGUCGGAUGUAUUAGAAAUAUUACAAGCAUUAACUUGGGUAUUAUAAAUAUCUUGUUUUAUUGUAGUUUUCAAGCUAUGUAUAAGUAAUAAUAUAAUACUAUUAGUUAUACAUCCAAUUCAGUAGUAUUCUUAUUCAUAUCAAAUCAUAGCAAUUACAAUAUCAUAAUCUUUAAUUCAUGGAUAAGUAUGUAUAAAGACAAAACUAUCAUCUAAAAAACUUUUAAUAUAUCUCAGCAAAACAUCAAUAAGAAAUAAUUUCAAUAUAACUAAUCUAAAUAUUAUUAGUCCCAGCAUUAUUUAUACACUAUAUUCAAUACCAUUCUUAUGCAGCCUACCAAACAAUCCCUAACAUGUUUAACACGUUCACCAGAAUGGAACCAUCAAAAAUGAAACAAACAUGUACUGGGUUCGUAGAAACAUCGAUCAUUAUUCUAGGAGAUAUCUUGUGACUAAAUGUACUUAUGACAAGUAUUUCCAUCAUAAUACUCUUCAAACAAUAAAUAUUUCACUAGUAUUUCAAGUGUAGAAGUUAAAAACUUGCAAACAUUGAUGAGGAAACAAACAUGUACUGGGUUCGCAGAAACAUCGUACAUUAUCUAGGAGAUAUCUUGUGACUAAAUGUACUUAUGACAAGUAUUUCCAUCAUAAUACUCUUCAAACAAAAAAUAUUUCACUAGUAUUUCAAGUGUAGAUGUUAAAAACUUGCAAACAUUGAUGUACAAAUCAGUAUUUACAACAAUUCUCCACCACACAAUAAAUACACAAAACUUAUCUAGAUAUAAACCUAAAAAAAAGUUGGUUUUAUGCUUAACUAUUCCCCUUUAUCCAACGGUCUUUACCCAAUGGACCCUCUCAUGACUUUCUUAUUUAGAUAUAAACCUAAAAAAAAGUUGGUUUUAUGCUGAAAUAUUCCCCUUUAUCCAACGGUCUUUACCUAACGGACCCUCUUAUGACUAUACUCUUCCAUUCUUUCCGAAGUAUUACGACAUAUGUUCUAUCGUGCAGGCCUUCUGACGGCUCGAUUUUAUAGUAGCCGAGACACUCAUCGAUGUUAUGCCUCUUGGUAUGACUACGGUUUGGUCGACAUCUUACCAUUAUAUUUAAUGAUGAUCACUUAUGGUCAGAUUUUAUCCCAUACAAAUACAUGUAUUAAUUUGGGUAUUAUUAAUAUCUUGUUAUGUUAUAUUUUUCAUGUUAUGUAUAACUAAUACUAAACUUUUUCUUAAGCAUAGUUUUAAGUUAAUGGAUAAGUUUGUAUAAAAACUACUAGAAAACUUCUUGUUAUGUAUAACUAAUACUAAACAUUUUUUAUGCAUAGUUUUUAAUUAAUGGAUAAGUAUGUAUAAACACUACUAGAAAACUUCCUAAAACCGUCCAGUAAUACCGACCGAAAUUGGUUAGAAAGCUAGAAAAAUUGACCGAAUUUAAUUCGUUGAAAUUAAGCUUGUCGGUAAUAAAUAGCAACCCAAGUCGGUAGAAAUUUUUGAUUGGUUUUGCUCGGUCAAUAAUAUUUCGCAAGCGGCCAAAGAGAAAAAUCUGCCGAAAAAACCGACCAAAGACGGUCGGUAUUUUAUUUUCAACUGUUUGGGAAUCGAACCGGGGUCUUUAAUGUGGCAAGAUACUAUUCUACCUCUAGACCAUCUAUACAUUUUGAUUUAAGACUAUUUUUUAUUCUAUUUGUACUCUUUAAUUAUAUUUUCGCGUGAAAAUAACCAAUCGAUUACGGUUGAUUUAUUAAAAUUAUAAAAUUACUGACCAAAAUUGGUCAGUUUUUUAAAAUAACCGACGGAUGUCAGUUAGUUUUUUUAAACACUUAUUUUAAUUUUUUUUAUAUGAAAAAAGUGAUCGAAGUUUGUCAGUUUAUUAAAAAAAUAAAUUUCGGGAUGCCAGCAUUGUUUCCCGCAUUUUUGCACCAAAAAAAUCGACCGAAGUUGGUCGAUUUCAUAAAAAGAAAUUAAAAAAAUAAAAUAUUUUAAAAUACAGACCGACGUCGGUCGGCUUUUUGUCCGGCUUACGGUCGAUUUUGAUCGAAUUUCUAGUAAUAUAAGACAGAACUUACCUUUCAAAACCUUUAAUAUACCAAACUAAACAGUCGAUAAAAAAUAAUUUCAGCCUAACUAACCUUAAUAUUGUUAGUCUCAGUAUUAUUAAUACACCAUAUUAAUUAUUCUUCUUAUGCAUUCUACCAAACAGACCCUAACAUUUUAACACAUGUUCAACAUAAUGGAACCGAAAGAAAUGAAACAAAAAUGUACUAGACAACUCAUAUAUGUCACUUUUGUUUUCAUCUUAUCUACUAUUAUCCCUUCCAAAGAAACAUCGUACAUUAUUCAUCACAUCUUGAAGAUAUCAUGUGAUGGAGUGUGUACCUGAAAAAUUCAAUAAACAUACAUAAGUUAAAGCGUUAUGGCAAUAUUUUAUUGAAGCUGAAAAUAAUAAUUUAAUAUGCAUUUAUGCAAAGGGAUUUAUGAAAUGAGAAAAGUAUUUGAUAUCUUUUGAAAGUAUGCAACUCACAGUAUAAAUUAACAAGUACAAGUAUUUUUAUCACGUCUUAUAAGAGGAAGGUAAUAAAAUUAUGAGAGUUGAUAAAAUUAUGGAAGCCAAAAAUUGUAUCGAAUUCUGGCGAUUCAGUAAACCUAUGAAAUAAAACCGUAUCACGUCUUAUGAGAAGAAGGUAAUACAAUUAUGAGAGUUGAUAAAAUUAUGGAAGCCAAAAAUUGUACCGAAUUCUGGCGAUUCAGCACACCUAUGCAAUAAAACCACCAUUAAGUAAACUAUUUUGUGGGAGUUGAAAAAAGUGCCACAAAAUGAAUUAAUAAAACUCCCACAAUAAUAUUAAAAGUUGGACGAGUACAACUAUAACGUACCUAGUGUGAUUUCAUAAGCGGGAUUUGGGGCGGGUACAACUAUAACGUACUCAGUGUAAUAAACCGUCACAAUUUAAUAUAUUUUUUGUAGCGAUUUAUAUCAGUAGGAACUAUUAUUUUCAUCAAAAUACAAGCAUGUUACUAGCAUUCAAAUAUGGAAGUUGAAAAACUGCAAACACCGAUGAGAAAAUCCGUAGUAUUUGCAAAAAAUCUCCACCACACAAAAGAAAAACAUUGGUUUCCUCUAUAAAUAGUUCACUAUGAGAACCUUACUUGUACAUCAACAAGCUAAGAUAAAUCACUUACUAUACUCUUAAGAAAAAUCAAUGGCAGGGAAAAGUUUUGUGGUGGUGUUGUUGGUUGCAAUGCUUCUCAUGUCAACAGAGCAUUCCAUGGCUCAAAAACGUGAUCCCGUAUGCGCAGCAUUAUGCGCACUUCAGUGUGGAACACGUCCUGUAUGCUUAGCUAGGUGCAUGGCUCGUUGCUUCCUUAAUGCAAGUAAUGACACCUUAGACGAAUCUCAUUCAACUUCACUAGAAGCUAGAAACCGCGUCUGUAACGUUGGAUGUUCCCUUGGCCAUUGUUCCGAAUUCCUAUUCCAAUAUGGUAUACCUCUCUCUUUUUGUCUUGCUACUUGUAUUUAUGCAGCCAGACGUAACAUGUUCUAACAUUUUUUUUAACUCAACUACUUGUAUCGUAUAGUUGAGUUCGUUUUUUUGUUAUAAAACCUAGUUUAUGACUGCAAUUAUAUUAAAAGUUGGACGAAAACAACUAUUUCUUUAGACUUACAAAAUUAUUUUUCUGGUUAAUGUUGCAGAUAACGAGAAGUUUGGAACUUGCAUGUCAAACUGUAGUGAGAAUUAUUGCAUGGGCAACAAUGCUCUAGAGAAAGCUUAAGAAGCAAGCAUUUGCUCUAAGAAAUAAGUAAACUUUGCCACAAUAUGUGUCUGUGAUAAUGACACCGUGUACGGAGAACUGGUGUUUGUGAUCCAAUUAUCUAAUAAGAUCAUUUUAGUUCAGUUAAUAUAUCCAUGACCUUUUUACGGCGAAAAUACACAUUCCGUUCAUCUAUUAUUUCAAUAGUACACAAUACGUUAAUUUUAUUAGUUAAAAUACCCCUACAUUUAACGACAGACCAACUGAACUUUCAAAUUAAUGUGUUGGCAUCUUUUUACUUGGCCACAUGAUACUCUCGUCCAAAAAUAGAUCAAGUAAAACGAAAACUACAGGAAACCACACCUACAGCCGCCACCCUACCUUUUCCUCCUACUAAAAUAUAAGCCCUAAAAACAAUCAUUUUACAAAAAAAAAACGUCGAAACAACAGAAAAACGCCCUGAACAACUAUAAAAAUGCAGUUGGACGCGCCACUGUGUAGCAGCUCCAACAUCAUCUUGCUUCAGCCAUCUAAGCGACCCAUUUUUCUCCAGAUCUCAUUCUUCUAAAACCCUCAAAACCAGCUAUUAAAGCAAUUCCAUAACCCUGAUCUCACAGUUUCCUCCAACGAAACAACCACAAGAUACUGUAUUGGUAAAAUUUGGCUCCUAACGUCCCUACGCCAAGUAAUUACUUCUUCGGUAAGAAGAAGCCACCUACCUUUGUACUUUUUCUUUGAUUAUUUCGAGGAAGGUCUCCUAACUAUAUAAAGGAGAACUUCAUAUUGUAAUGGGGACGUGUGUUAUUCAAAAU